UACGUCGAUCCUAGAAACCAACAAAAUAGGGUCAAACGUCCUAUUUCAUUAUUCCAUGCUAAUGUAUUCAAGCGCGAGCCUGCUUUAAACACUCUAAUUUUUUCAAAGUAACAGUCCUGAUUCCCCGCCACACCAACUUAAUGACAUGACGGUUCUUCAGAAGGGAGAAACCAGUGACACCAGUGCAUACCGAAGGCACGACCAGCG
rnacentral:misc_RNA from 1 species